AAUAUGUAUCCAGAUGUGCGCACCUUCAACAUACUAACAGAUGGACUAUGCAAAGAAGGGAAAGUUGAAGAUGCCGAAGAAGUAAUGAAACAAAUGGUUGAAAAGGGUGUCGAGCCUAAUGUAAUCACCUACAAUGUGAUAAUGGAUGGAUAUUGUUUGCGUGGUCAACUAUAUAAAGCAAGGAGAAUUUUUUAUAUCUUGAUAGAUAAGGGCAUUGAGCCUACCAUUUUUAGCUAUAACAUACUAAUAAAUGGAUAUUGUAAGAAAAAGAAAAUUGACAAGGCCAUGCAAUUGUUUUGUGAAAUUUCUCAAAAGGGAUUAAAGCCUGAUAUUGUUA
rnacentral:misc_RNA from 1 species